CGUGUAGGCGGCCUCUUAAGUCUGGUGUGAAAGCCCGGGGCUUACCCCCGGAAGGGCACUGGAAACUGGGAGGCUGGAGUACCGGAGAGGAGGGUGGAAUUCCUGGUGUAGCGGUGAAAUGCGUAGAUAUCAGGAGGAACACCGGUGGCGAAGGCGGCCCUCUGGACGGAUACUGACGCUGAGACGCGAAAGCGUGGGGAGCAAACAGGAUUAGAUACCCUGGUAGUCCACGCUGUAAACGAUAGGCACUAGGUGUUCGGGGUAUUGACCCCCUGAGUGCCGCAGCUAACGCAUUAAGUGCCCCGCCUGGGGACUACGGCCGCAAGGUUAAA
rnacentral:rRNA from 1 species